ACAGAAUCUCCUCUAGGACCAGAGCUAGACGACACAAAGGACGAGGUCGAGAAUUCACCAAUCGAGAUCUCAGAUGACAAAAAGCUCUGGACGUCGAGCGACAAAGCGCCAGCCACACUCGGCAGGCUGGUCCGGGAGAGUGGAGAGGAGAACGAGGAAGCUGACGAGGAUAAUGAGAUUGGGAACGCGGCAGAAGGUCGCAGGGAUCCAGAAAAAUUUGGGAACAGUGACGAUGAAGACCUAGCUGGCUCUGGGGAGGUCGAAGGUAGCGCCAAUGAGGGUGGAACAGGUGUUAUUUAUCCCCCAGACAGGCAACGAAGAUACUACCGGAUCACACUGACAAUCGGUGAGCCGUACCUGCCGGAGUACGCGGACAGAAAUAGUCGGAAGUACAAGGACCUG